AAUCAUGGCUCAGGAUGAACGCUGGCGGCGUGCUUAACACAUGCAAGUCGAGCGAAGCAAUUUAAGUGAAGUUUUCGGAUGGAUCUUAAAUUGACUGAGCGGCGGACGGGUGAGUAACGCGUGGAUAACCUGCCUCACACAGGGGGAUAACAGUUAGAAAUGACUGCUAAUACCGCAUAAGCGCACGGUACCGCAUGGUACAGUGUGAAAAACUCCGGUGGUGUGAGAUGGAUCCG
rnacentral:rRNA from 1 species